GUGGAACAACGAUUCCCGAUUCUCCCUGCAAAACGAUUAUGGUUGAGAAUAAAAAGGAAAGAUGGAAGAAGAAAAUUCGAAGAAUCGAAGAAGAGGUUCUGUUGAAAAGAGAGCCAACCCCCAAAACUCAACCUUGUUCAUGUAUUUAUAGAGUAGUGAAAAAGCUACAUUCUGGGUCAUCUGGUAUCUGCUUUGUAUCAGGCUUGUGGCUUGAGGAGCUUGUACUCACGUGGUAGCAGCUUAUGAAGCGUACGCUUGCGUUCUCGUUUUCUUCAUGGCUUUGGCUACUACGUUAGGAGUUUUCGGUAAUAGCUUUUGCAGCUUCUGUUUUUGGCUUGGCGUGAAGCUUUACGUUCAUUGUUUUAUACGCGUUGUCGUUGUUGCGCUUUGGAAACUUGCCGUUAUGUGUUGCCGCUUAUGCACUGUUCACGCCAUUUUGUGUUGGUUGUCAUGCGUUUUUCAUGUGCAGCUUGGAUUGGCAUAGCUUUAGCAACUUGCUGCGUUCUGUUGUGCUUUGGAGUUUAGCUUGUAAUAUGGUAGUCGCGUUUCAAGUUGUUUUUUCACUUUUCCCUUUGCAGCUUACGUUUCCUGGCUUAUGCUGGGCUUUAGUAAAUUGGGAUGGAUUGAGAAUAUGGGUUAUGGGCAAUGUAUUUUCGGAUGGUUGAACUAUGAAAUUAGAUCUGGGCUAUGGUUAAUUGUAAUUGGAUAUGGAGAAUUGGAUU